CCCAACAGGGAUUGCCUCAGUACGGCGAGUGAAGCGGCAAAAGCUCAAAUUUGAAAUCUAGCACCUCUCGGUGUUCGAGUUGUAAUUUGAAGAUGGUAACCUUGGGUUUGGCUCUUGUCUAUGUUCCUUGGAACAGGACGUCAUAGAGGGUGAGAAUCCCGUCUGAUGAGAUGCCCAUUCCUAUGUAAGGUGCUAUCGAAGAGUCGAGUUGUUUGGGAAUGCAGCUCUAAGUGGGUGGUAAAUUCCAUCUAAAGCUAAAUAUUGGCGAGAGACCGAUAGCGAACAAGUACAGUGAUGGAAAGAUGAAAAGAACUUUGAAAAGAGAGUGAAAAAGUACGUGAAAUUGUUGAAAGGGAAGGGCAUUAGAUCAGACUUGGUGUUUUACGAUUAUCUUCUCUUCUUGAGUUGUGCACUCGUAUUUCACUGGGCCAGCAUCGAUUCGGAUGGCAAGAUAAUGGCAGUUGAAUGUGGCUUCACUUCGGUGGAGUGUUAUAGCUUCUGCUGAUAUUGCCUGUCUGGAUCGAGGGCUGCGUCUUUUGACUAGGAUGCUGGCGUAAUGAUCUAAUGCCGCCCGUCUGAAAAACAGGGGACCA
rnacentral:rRNA from 1 species